GGCCAUGGCUUAGUGGCUGAGCCUUUGCUUGGCAUGCAGAAGGUACCAGGUUCAAUCCCUGCCAUCCCCA
rnacentral:tRNA from 1 species